GGAUGGCUCAGCUGGUUACAGCGUGGCUUUGAUAAUGUCAAGGAUGCAGGUUCAAUCCCUGUAUGGGACA